CUAAUUUUAAUUCCAAAUUAAAGUUUUGACCCCAAUUUCACAGUCCACUGAACAUAGAAAAUGAUAGUGGGAGUGGGGCAUCCGUGUACUAUGGACACAUUCUUGUUUAACUUUAAAAAAUCUUCUCCUCUAAAACUACUGAAUCUUCAAUUCAACUGAAGUUUAUAAUCACCUUUAAAAAACAAACUUCAAAAUCUCACACCAAACACUUUUUUCUUUUGAAGAAAGUAUGACAAAAAACUGCAUUUUCAAACACUUAUUAAUAUACAUUAAACCAAAAAAAUAAAAAAAAAAAACUAUGAUGAAAUUGGACACUUAAACUCUUAAACGAAAGAUAAAUGCUAAAAUAAUCAAGGUGAGCGAUUCAGGCUCUUGAGAGCCUCUUGUUAUUCUUCACAUUAAAACAUUUUUGUCCUGAUAUGUAUGUAAUAAUUGCCACUGUACGUUUGUACUGCACGUUUGAUACCAAUCCAUCCAUUUGUCCAUCUUUCAGUGACUUUGAAAUAUUCACAUAAAUCUUACAAUAAUUAUAUGUAUUUAAAGGUUAUGAAAACUUGCAAAUACAAAUUGCUCAAAAUGUUUUCAGCCAUCUCACAAAGGUUAGACUAUGUCAAAAAAUAUCAACCAAAAUAAGUUGUUGUAUGGUAUCUAAAAUCAUAUUGUAAUUGUACAUUGUUGUAACUUGCAAAUUGUAAGAUAUCCCAUGACAACGAGAAUAGUGUCAAGGGUAUUCUUAGUAAAUGUUAGCUUUUUUUUAUAUAGAUUGAAUUCAAAAUUGAUACUCAGCUAUGUAUAAAGGUGCAAGAGAACCAUUUUCAAAAUCAGAUACUCGACCAUGUUUCAAAUACAGUCAUAUAGUGACUUCAGUCCUGGUAUCUAUGAUGAGUUUAUUUAUGUAAACACUGGUUUAUUUAUGCAGCAGCGUUUUGUAGAAUGCGAUACAUUUGUGCACCACAUUUAUAUGACUCUCUAAAUGACAGAAUAACCUGUUAGUUUUGAUAACAAUAAGACAUUCAUCUCCACUGCAGAUUUUCUACUGUUGUAUUCUCAGGUUGUAUAAUUUGUGUUACAUUUCUGACAUUUGAAUAAGUAAUGAAAUGCAUCUUCAUUGUUAUUGUAAAAUGAAUGUAAAGAAAAAUUAUUGUUUAUACACAUGUAUUUAUAUUUCUCAUAGAUUUGUAUGAUAACCACACAUUUUAUACAUAAAAAAAGCAAACAUUGAUGUGUUUAUUUUUCUGUUGCCAUUUUAACUGAUCACUUUGAAAUAAUUUACCUUAUUUGUGACCAUAAUCACAUUAAUACUCUU
rnacentral:lncRNA from 1 species